rnacentral:rRNA from 1 species
AUUGAACGCUGGCGGCAGGCCUAACACAUGCAAGUCGAACGAGUGGCGGACGGGUGAGUAAUGUCUGGGAAACUGCCUGAUGGAGGGGGAUAACUACUGGAAACGGUAGCUAAUACCGCAAACCAUCAGAUGGGCCCUUGUGGGUUUAGGGUGUGGGUGGGGUAACGGCUCACAAAGGCCACGAUCCCUAGCUGGUCUGAGAGGGUGACCGGCCACACUGGAACUGAGACACGGUCCAGACUCCUACGGGAGGCAGCAGUGGGGAAUCUUGGGCAAUGGGCGCAAGCCUGAUGCAGCCAGGCCGCGUGUGUGAAGAAGGCCUGCGGGUUGUAAAGUACUUUCAGCAGGGAAGCGUUACCCGCAGAGGAAGCACCGGCUAACUCCGUGCCAGCAGCCGCGGUAAUUC